rnacentral:rRNA from 1 species
CUCGGACCGCGACCCUAGGUCAAGCGGGGCUACCCGCC